CACCUCCUCCGCCUCCGCCUCCUCCACCGCCUGCGCCUCACUCGUUGGGUUCGUUGUCGUAUGGAUCUGUAAAAGAGGGUAUGAUGUAUGAUAUCAUAUCCAAGGCUUCGACGCCCGAGGCUACCCUUUUUUUUCAUUUUGGUUUUAUAGUAUCUAAGCAUUUCAGCAGCUACGAAACCAGAGAGAUAGAUUGCGCUGCGCCAGGCCAAAUACCAAAUAAACAUUCACCAAUGGGGCUAAGCGCAUAUUAGCUAAUUUGCGAAAGCCAACAACAGACUACGAAUAGCGUCAGACAACCGCUGCAGAAGCGUGUAUCUCUAUCUAAUGAAUACGCAAAGCAGAAUAUGAUGAAAUCGUCUAAACUUAGAUACGGAUUUCAUGGGGCUCGGCUCACGCAAUCCCCCAAACGGACAAUGAGAGCGACAAGGCUGGAAAAACAGGGGACUGGGGACAGACUGGCGAGGAUGAUUAAAUUGCCGCUAAACUUCGCCUUGAGCCUCCCGAUUGGGGCGCAGUUGGAACGAGACUGAGCCUCUCAGAACGAGCCCGAGCAUUUUCUCUUAAUUGCGAAAUGAAAGUGAACUCAACAUCUGCAUUAAAAGCAAUUGAAGAUCUUUUGUGUGUGAGUGAGUAUUACCCCCUGCCUAGUACAUAGAUAUUGUAUCUGUAUCUCUCCAGCUUCUCUCAGUGCUUGAGAGAGUAAGCUCGGGUGGAUCGAGAGGUAUCUUCUAAUUAUACUUUUUUUUGGCGCUGCUAAUGGUCAGACUCGACUCUGAGCCAUGCCAUGGAAGUAUUUAAUGAAUUGGAACUAAUUGGUGCGAUGAAAAUCUGUAUAGGAAAGGUCAGGGCCAGGCCCAUUAUUAGAUCGAGCUGAAGGCCAAUCAUCUGUAAUGAUCCACCCACACUUGACCAAGUAGAAAAUGUUAUACUCCAUGAAGAUGUCACUCCAUAGAUACGAGUGCCUAUGGAUAGGCUAAUCUAAUAACACGCCUGUCAAUAUCUAUACUCGUAGUAUGUUAGCAUACAACGCAAUCGAUAAAUCUUUAGUUGUGUUCAGAAAGUCAUAGAUAAACCAGACGCCAUAUGUUAUACAAUAUAGAACAAGUUUUUUAUGGUU